UCCUUUCCCAGAAACAUUUCACGCUUCAUCUCCCAUCAAGCAUUCUCCUCCUCUGCCAACGUUUCUACCUACGGACCACCGGAAAAUGGCAAUUUCUGGUGGUCUUCAACAUAUCUCCCUACCCUCCAUCAAUCAUAGCUUCCCUCUUGUCAACUUUACAUCCCUUCCAUCAUCUUUGUUGAACCGAAACAGACCUCAAAAACCCCCUACCACCGUCGCUGCUACAACUGAAAAUGUGGAGAACGUGAAGGACCAUCAGAUUUGGGAUCAUUAUCCCCUUAAUCCGAUGGUUGUGAGAUUGGAACCCCCAAGUCAUCACUCAUUCUUUCAAAUCAAUCUAAAAAAUGGUUGAUAAUAUUUUCUUCUAAGAUUUUAUCUUUCAAAGAUUCAAAUUCGAAUCAUUGAAGCCUCCCCUAACUAUAAAAGGAGGAGUUUGGUUCUCAUUCGAAUCAAUCAAAGAACGACAGAAAAGAGGUACAAAAGCACACUUCAAGCAUUAGGUUUUUCAGAAAAUUUCGAUCUGCUUUCAACUUUUUGUUUCGAUUUUGAAUUCGCGUUUCGAGAGUAAGUUUGAAGUUGGAAUCCUUGACGAAACGCUCCUAGUUUGCUGCCCCACACAAGUUUCUACUUUGGAACUCGUUAUUGGCCUAAAGUAUUAGGCCAACAGCAAGUAGGAUCAUCGCAAUGCUUGGAGUCUCGCGAAUUAGGAGUCUAAUGUUUUCUUAGCCUUUCUUUCGUUGUCCUAUUUAUGUUGUUUUGAUAUGUUGGCUAACCUUUACUUACAAGUUUUUGAUAUAUUGCUUGGCUUUUAUUUUGAAGUUU